GACGAACGCUGGCGGCGUGCUUAACACAUGCAAGUCGAACGAAGUGGCGAACGGGUGAGUAACGCGUAAUCAACCUGCCCUUCAGCGGGGGACAACAGUUGGAAACGACUGCUAAUACCGCAUACUGAAGGCGGGGAUUGCGUCUGAUUAGCUCGUGGGAGGGGUAACGGCCCACCAAGGCGAUGAUCAGUAGCCGGUCUGAGAGGGUGAACGGCCACAUUGGGACAGGGACACGGCCCAGACUCCGACGGGAGGAAGCAGUGGGGAAUCUUCCGCAAUGGACGAAAGUCGGACGGAGAAACGCCGCGUGAGUGAGGACGGCCUUAGGGUUGUAAAGCUCUGUUAAUCGGGACGCGGUACCGGAAGAGAAAGCCACGGCUAACUACGUGCCAGCAGCCGCGGUAAUAC
rnacentral:rRNA from 1 species